rnacentral:lncRNA from 1 species
AACGAGGCAGUCGGUCCUACAUUUCUUUUGGUUGGACAAGACGACGUAGGAAAAGAGAUACCGUUUUUCAUGGUGCUCACGCUGAACAGAAGCGACAACCUAGCAAGCCACAAGUCUGAUGCCUUCAGCCGUCACCGCUUUUUGAUUUAGUCUUAAUCACAACGAAUAAAGAUUGAAACAUGA